rnacentral:rRNA from 1 species
AUUGAACGCUGGCGGCAGGCUUAACACAUGCAAGUCGAGCGGAGCGAGGGUGCUUGCACCUUAGCUUAGCGGCGGACGGGUGAGUAAUGCUUAGGAAUCUGCCUAUUAGUGGGGGACAACAUUCCGAAAGGGAUGCUAAUACCGCAUACGCCCUACGGGGGAAAGCAGGGGAUCACUUGUGACCUUGCGCUAAUAGAUGAGCCUAAGUCGGAUUAGCUAGUUGGUGGGGUAAAGGCCUACCAAGGCGACGAUCUGUAGCGGGUCUGAGAGGAUGAUCCGCCACACUGGGACUGAGACACGGCCCAGACUCCUACGGGAGGCAGCAGUGGGGAAUAUUGGACAAUGGGGGGAACCCUGAUCCAGCCAUGCCGCGUGUGUGAAGAAGGCCUUUUGGUUGUAAAGCACUUUAAGCGAGGAGGAGGCGCUCUAGGAUAAUACCCUAGAUGCGUGGACGUACUCGCAGAUAGC